GGUGCGCUGUACCACUAGUACUAAGGAAAACGCUUGCUGCGGCUGUCAUAUUAGCAACCAUUGCCGAAGGAAGAAAAACCCUAGCCGCUGCCUGCGCCAAAGUCCUAUUUAAGCAUCAUCCGUUCAGCGCCUCCAGGUUAUACUAGGUAUCAUCUUAAUAGCAUACAUAUGUCGCCGCUCAAUUGAUUUCCUCCAGUUACAGAUAAUGUGGAGUAUGAAGCUAGUGUUAUGCUUCACCACGACGGCUGUUCUGUUGACAGCGCUUAUUGAAUAUGCUUGUUAAUGGAUUUUGGUCAAACGUUUCGCAAGCCUGUAAAUGGGGAGGGAUGGUGAUACCAUCCCAGGAUUUUGGCACUGUAUUGUAUAGUAUAGUAGUAUGUAAUAUGAGAUUCAAGCAAGCGGAUUUUAAAGUUGUGAAAAAAAAGAAAAGAAAAGCAUAAUAUAUAUAACUGGUAUUACACUACUUA